rnacentral:tRNA from 1 species
GGGGAUUUGGCUCAGUGGUAGAGCGUUUGCUUAGGAAGCGCAAGGUCCUGGGUUCAAUCCCCAGCCCCG